rnacentral:rRNA from 1 species
ACCUUAGACAACGGAUGUCUUGGCUCUUUACACGAUGAAGAACGUUGCAUAAUGUGAUAAGCGGCUAGAAUUGCUUAAUUUGUGAUAAGUUCGAUCUUUGAAUGCACAUUGCGUAUUUAAUGAUUUUUAAUUAUUAAAUACAUAUAUUUAUAAGUAACCUA